AGUCCAGAUCUGUCGAACUGCAAAUUCGGUUUUGGGUGUGAUUACCCCUGGACUU
rnacentral:tRNA from 1 species